rnacentral:rRNA from 1 species
GUGCCAGCAGCCGCGGUAAUACAGAGGUCUCAAGCGUUGUUCGGAUUCAUUGGGCGUAAAGGGUGCGUAGGCGGUGAAGCAAGUCUGGUGUGAAAUCCCGGGGCUCAACCCCGGAACUGCACUGGACACUGCUUUACUAGAGUACUGGAGAGGGAACUGGAAUUUACGGUGUAGCAGUGAAAUGCGUAGAUAUCGUAAGGAAGACCAGCGGCGAAGGCGAGUUCCUGGACAGUUACUGACGCUGAGGCACGAAGGCCAGGGGAGCAAACGGGAUUAGAUACCCGGGUAGUCC